GAUGAACGCUAGCGACAGGCCUAACACAUGCAAGUCGAGGGGCAUCGGGGCGUAGCAAUACGCUGCCGGCGACCGGCGGAUGGGUGAGUAACGCGUAUGCAACCUGCCUUCAGCAGGGGGAUAGCCCGUUGAAAGACGGAUUAAUACCCCGUAACACAGGGGCUCCGCAUGGAGAUUAUUGUUAAAGGGAUACUUCCUUCGGGGGGUAUUCCGGCUGAAGAUGGGCAUGCGUUCCAUUAGGUAGUUGGUUGAGGUAACGGCUCACCAAGCCUACGAUGGAUAGGGGAACUGAGGAGGUUGGUCCCCCACACUGGUACUGAGACACGGACCAGACUCCUACGGGAGGCAGCAGUGAGGAAUAUGGGCAAUGGGCGCAAGCCUGACCCAGCAACGCCGCGUGAGGGAAGAAGGCCCUACGGGUUGUAAACUUCUUUUCUGUUUGAAGAAUAAGCUCGUCGAGACGAGUGAUGCCGGUAGGACAGGAUAAGCAUCGGCUAACUCCGUGCCAGC
rnacentral:rRNA from 1 species